rnacentral:rRNA from 1 species
CCUACGGGUGGCUGCAGUAAGGAAUAUUGGUCAAUGGAGGCAACUCUGAACCAGCCAUGCCGCGUGCAGGAAGACGGCCCUACGGGUUGUAAACUGCUUUUAUACGGGAAUAAACCUCUUUACGUGUAAAGAGUUGAAUGUACUGUAAGAAUAAGGAUCGGCUAACUCCGUGCCAGCAGCCGCGGUAAUACGGAGGAUCCGAGCGUUAUCCGGAUUUAUUGGGUUUAAAGGGUGCGUAGGCGGCCUGUUAAGUCAGGGGUGAAAUUUUUCGGCUC